UCUUUUACUUUCUAUUCAUUAAAUUAGAGUAGAUUAAGAACGUAUGCAUUUAUUUAUCAUUAUUCCUUUUAAUUUGAUGUAGGUGUCCUUUUUAAAGAACCGUGUUAAUAUUGCUAGUGGGACACCAAGCAGGAUCAAGAAGUUGAUUGAUAUGGAGGCACUGGGAUUAACACGAUUAGCAGUGAUUGUGCUUGACAUGCAAACUGAUGUUAAGGGUUAUUCCUUAUUCACACUUCCUCAAGUCAGAGAUGAGUUCUGGGACUUGUAUAAAAACUACUUGCACCCAUGACUAGUUCAAGGUGAUCUUCGU